AUACUUACCUGGCAGGGAGAUACCAUGAUCAUGAAGGUAGUUUUCCCAGGGUGAGGCUUAUCCAUUGUACUCUGGAUGUGCUGACACCUGUGAUUUCCCAAAUGUGGGAAACUCCACUGCAUAAUUUGUGGUACUGGUGGACUGCGUUUGUGUUCUCCCCUG